ensembl:lncRNA
UAUUGAAUUAGAAUAUAAUUGUAUUACACUAUACCCUUUGUCAAUUUCACACAAUUAAUCAACUUAGGAUGCUAGCUGACGUUUUAUGAGCUAGCUAGCUAGCUAGCGUCUGUCGUGAAGAGCAGCAGGUCCUCGCUCAGAAGUUACACGGCAAGUGGUCUUAUUUUCUUAUUUUUAUGUGUAAAUCCCACAGAACUGAUCCCUCAUUCAAGACCACGAACAACAACCAAGUGCUGUAAGUGUGUUUGAGCGUCUUUCUGACCUCCGUCUCACACCAACGACAACGUCACUACCGAGGGAAGCUAUUAGCUGAGCUAACGGUUCACUAAGCUAACCGUAGCUUCUGCGUCGGCUAGUGCGUAUAAACGUCAAAGCGUUUGGUCGUAUUUCGUUUUAACAAAUUCAUCAAAUGAUAUGAUCCGAAUAAGAAGCGGCGGAGGAGAGCGAGCGAGUUGGAGCUGUGCUCUGUGCGCUUUGCCAGUCAGAGGUGUGUUGUUUCCCGGUGUCUUUGGGUAGCAGGACCCCGCCGUGCAGCCAGCCCCCCCGGUGCCAUGUCCAACAGCUGUCUCGGUAAAGGGUCGCAGCUCAUCUGAAGGGGGAAGGUAGCACCUCGCUUUGAGGAGGACAGAAGAUUUAAGAAAAGAGAAAGAAGACUGAGCAGUUGCGGAGAGAGGGGGGAUAUAUAACUGACACCCCCCCCUCCGCUCCUCACUAAACAGGGCAAAAACGGAAGGCUUUGGAGUAUUCAAUUUUUUCUUUCGCUUUAUAUUUUUCUUAUUCCUCAUCGCGGUGCUGGGAGGUGCUUCAUCUUUUCAUAUAGUCUCUCUCUCCGUCACUUGCCUUCUCAUCUAUUUCUCCAUCUACCUGGUUUACAAUUUCCUCUAUUUAUGAGUGAGAGAGAAGAGGAAGGACGGAGGAGUUUUGUACGAGUUUUCUGUCCUUCCUUUCCUUCUCUCCUCUCUUCCCCCCUUUUUUCACCAAACCAUACCAUACCCGUCAGUCCCUCCCUGCCAUUGCAUUUCUAGCUGCCACCAUCCGUUCAUCACUCCCCACCGUACGCCUUUCUGUCUCACAAGUCUGAUGUAAUAUGAACUUGGAUGAUUUUUUUUUUCUCUUUUUCAAAGACAACAAAAAAACCUCCUCAUGAAUGACUCUUUUUUCCCCUUUUCCUUCUCUUUUGGUCCCUCCACACCCAUUUUCUUUGCAUCACACCCGUGCGGGAUUCUUAAAUGUUACUCUAGGUAGGUUAACUAUUGUUUAGUGUCUGUCCAUCUGUCUGUCGGUGUGUAUUUGUGUGUGCUUUACGUAUGCAUAAAACACACAUUAACACACACAUGUGCUCGCACACUAAACUAUGCCUAAAACCACAGUGCUCAGUGGGUCGACAUCGGUCUGCUCUCACACCGCUUUCACACCGUCUUCCUCAUCCGUUCUUCUCGUUGUGGCAAAGUGCGCCCAUUUUUAAUUGUUCUCUGUGACAAAUCCUGUUUUUUCAUGUGUCAUUUUUUCCAUUUGACAGACAGAGCACUUUGUUUUGCUACCUGUUGUUGUGAAUUAACAAGGGAACAAAAAAUUAAGUUUGAUCCCGAGAGAGGAUGAGAUUCAUUUCUCGGCACCCUUCGGGGGCGUCUUCUUCCGUUUGGCUAGAAUUUAGCAAAAAUGGGAAAAUUGUGUCUGAACUAAAUCCACUCUUCAUGUUUUGUUUUUGACAUUUUUUGCCAGUGCAUCAACAGAUGUCAGUUGGCAUUGAACCCUCCCAUCACACACACAAUCCCCACACCUUAAAUACACCACACUAUUCCAUCAUUGUCUGUGUAUUCUUGUUGUUUCCAUCCCAUUGCGACUUUUUUUUCCCCCCACGACUGUCCGUUUUUGAUCCCCGAAGCGCUUCCCCCGGUCCCACCGGUCUCCGUCCUCCUCCUCUGUUGGACUAGAGAGGCCGAUGGGCAUUUGGACGUUGAACGGUGGACUAAAUGGCUUAACGCGCCUUUUCGGUGGGUUCCGAGUCGCAAUCGCCGGUGUGCAGAUUGUGAAAUAGAGACAGACUGACAGACAGAUAAAAAUAGAUAUAACUUAAUUUCCUCAUCUCAUCAAGACCUCCCUCCUCCCCUCUGUC